GGAAGGAAAGGAGGAGAGAAGGGGAGAAGAGGGAAGCAAGGAGGAAAGGAAUUAUGCUACAGAUCAGCCUAAUGGGGGACCCACACCUAAUAGACAUACAAAGGACAAUUAGAAGAGUCGAGAAGUAAAAAGCAAAAAAUGAAGUUUUAUAGAACGAAUGAAGACAAAAAUCUGAACCGCACCUGAAGUGGAGCUGGGCCUUGUCA
rnacentral:lncRNA from 10 species